rnacentral:tRNA from 1 species
GCCUUCGUGGUGUAGUGGUUAGCACGCUCGACACGUAAAUAAGAGGUCCGUGGUUCGAUUCCCGGCGAAGGCU